rnacentral:rRNA from 1 species
UACACAUGCAAGUCGAACGGCAGCAUGAUCUAGCUUGCUAGAUUGAUGGCGAGUGGCGAACGGGUGAGUAAUACAUCGGAACGUGCCCUGUAGUGGGGGAUAACUAGUCGAAAGAUUAGCUAAUACCGCAUACGACCUGAGGGUGAAAGUGGGGGACCGCAAGGCCUCAUGCUAUAGGAGCGGCCGAUGUCUGAUUAGCUAGUUGGUGAGGUAAAGGCCCACCAAGGCGACGAUCAGUAGCUGGUCUGAGAGGACGAUCAGCCACACUGGGACUGAGACACGGCCCAGACUCCUACGGGAGGCAGCAGUGGGGAAUUUUGGACAAUGGGGGCAACCCUGAUCCAGCAAUGCCGCGUGUGUGAAGAAGGCCUUCGGGUUGUAAAGCACUUUUGUCCGGAAAGAAAUCGCACUUACUAAUAUUAGGUGUGGAUGACGGUACCGGAAGAAUAAGGACCGGCUAACUACGUGCCAGCAGCCGCGGUAAUACGUAGGGUCCAAGCGUUAAUCGGAAUUACUGGGCGUAAAGCGUGCGCAGGCGGUUGUGCAAGACCGAUGUGAAAUCCCCGGGCUUAACCUGGGAAUUGCAUUGGUGACUGCACGGCUAGAGUGUGUCAGAGGGGGGUAGAAUUCCACGUGUAGCAGUGAAAUGCGUAGAGAUGUGGAGGAAUACCGAUGGCGAAGGCAGCCCCCUGGGAUAACACUGACGCUCAUGCACGAAAGCGUGGGGAGCAAACAGGAUUAGAUACCCUGGUAGUCCACGCCCUAAACGAUGUCAACUAGUUGUUGGGGAUUCAUUUCCUUANUAACGUANCNNCGCGUGAAGUUGACCGCCUGGGGAGUACGGUCGCAAGAUUAAAACUCAAAGGAAUUGA